rnacentral:rRNA from 1 species
UUAAAGCUUCCGCAAGGAGUGUGCUUUGGGAGGGGCCUGCGGCGGAUUAGAUUGUUGGUGGGGUAAUGGCCUACCAAGUCGAUGAUCCGUAGCUAGUCUGAGAGGACGAUUAGCCACACUGGCACUGACACACGGGCCAGACUCCUACGGGAGGCAGCAGCAGGGAAUAUUGCACAAUGGGCGAAAGCCUGAUGCAGCAACGCCGCGUGAGGGAUGAAGGUCUUCGGAUUGUAAACCUCUUUUACGGGGGAAGAGAAGGGACGGUACCCCGUGAAUAAGCAACGGCUAACUACGUGCCAGCAGCCGCGGUAAUACGUAGGUUGCGAGCGUUAUUCGGAUUUACUGGGCGUAAAGAGCACCGAGGUGGCUUCUUAAGUUGGAUGUGAAAUCUCCUGGCUUAACUGGGAGGCGCCAUUCAAAACUGGGGAGCUUGAGGUCAGCAGGGGAAAGUGGAAUUCCCGGUGUAGUGGUGGAAUGCGUAGAGAUCGGGAGGAACACCAGUGGCGAAAGCGACUUUCUGGGCUGCACCUGACACUCUAGUGCGAAAGCGUGGGGAGCAAACAGGAUUAGAUACCCUGGUAGUCCACGCCCUAAACGAUGGAUACUAGGUGUGGGAGGUAUUGACCCCUUCCGUGCCGAAGCCAACGCGUUAAGUAUCCCGCCUGGGGACUACGGCCGCAAGGUUAAAACUUAAAGGAAUUGACGG